rnacentral:rRNA from 1 species
AUUGAACGCUGGCGGCCGGCCUAACACAUGCAAGUCGAACGAGUGGCGGACGGGUGAGUAAUGUAUGGGAAAAUGCCUGAUGGAGGGGUAUAACUACUGGAAAAGAUAGCUAUUACCGCUAACCAUCGGAUGUGCCCAGAUUGGAGUAGCUAGUAGGUGGGGUAAAGGCUGACCUAGGCGAAGAUCCCUAGCUGGUCUGAGAGGAUGACCAGCCACACUGGUACUGAGACACGGUCCAGAUUCCUACGGGAGGCAGCAGUGGGGAAUAUUGCACAAUGGGCGAAAGCCUGAUGCAGCCAUGCGGCGUGUAUGAAGAAGGCCUUCGGGUUGUAAAGUACUUUCAGCUGGGAGGCGUUACCCGCAGAAGAAGCACCGGCUAACUCCGUGCCAGCAGCCGCGGUAAUAC